AUGGCGGAGUUCGCGCUUGGGUUGACCAAGUCGGCGGUGGAGGGGGCGCUAAGCAGGGUGAAGUCGGCGAUCGAGGAGGAGGAUAAGCAGAGGGUGCGUGUUCAGGACGACCUGGUGUUCAUCACCGGGGAAUUUCAAAUGAUGCAGUCCUUUCUCGGCGUCGCCAACGCCGAGCGCGCCAACAACACGGUGGUACGGACAUGGGUGAAGCAGCUCCGCGACCUGGCCUUCGAUGUCGAGGACUGCGUUGAGUUCGUCAUCCACCUCGACAAACCGUCGCGCUUGGACUGGGUGCGGCGCUUCACCUCGUCCGUCAUCUGCAUCACAAGGCCGCCGCUGCCCCUGGACGUGGCGGUUGCAGACAUCAAGCGGCUCAAGACCAGGGUGGAGGAUGUAAGCCAGAGGAACACACGCUACAACCUCAUAAGUGACUCCGGCUCCAGCUCCAACUCUGCAGUUACUGUUGUCUCUACUCCGGCAGUAGAGCUUAAGCCGGCCAGCGCAGGACCAACAUUGCAUAGUAUCCUAUGCAAGGUGUGGGAGGAAGCGGGGAGGAAGCGAUGCGGCACGGAUGAUCUCAAGAAGCUGAUCAUCAGAGGAGGGGGUGGCCUUGAAGUCAUCUCCCUAUGGGGAAGUCAAGAGGUUGCACAUCUUGGGGUAACACAUGUUAUUAGGGAGGCGUACAAUGAUCCACAAAUCCGCCAAGAUUUCAGUAUCUGUGCACGGGUAAAGCUGCUACAUCCAUUUAUCCUUGACGAGUUCCUCAAGAGCUUUCUCGCUCAGUUCAACACACUGCGGCAAAGGAGCACUAGGCGUUCUCACCUCAGGCAGCAUAUGAAAGAGCAUAGGUAUCUAGUCAUCUUGGAAGAUGUACGCACUGCGGCAGAGUUGGAUGACAUCAGAGAGUAUCUGCCGGACACUAACAAUGGCAGCCGGAUAGUCGUGUCAACACAGCAAUUGGGGCUGGCGAUUUCCUGCUUGUGGAAGUCGUACCAGGUAGCGGAGCUCAGAAAGUUCUCUCAUGGUCAAUCGCUUUAUGCAUUUAUCAACAAGGUUCCUGAUUGUCGCAGUGAUAUGAGCGAAUUUAUUUGGCAAUUAAGAUGUGGUGGUGUGGUCUCCGUUUGGGGCAACAGUGAAUCAACUACUAUCCUUGAUAGCGUGUACACCAGUAUAACCCAUAAGUCGAAAGCAUUUGAGAACGAGGGAGUAGAAUUUGAAAAACACAGCUGGGUCGAGGUACCCAGUCCAUUUAAAUUUGAUGUCUUCUCCCGGCGUCUUCUUCUGAGUUUCCAUGGUGAUGAUUUUGUCGCCCAAGAAGUUGCAGCAGUGGGUAGGAUGGGACACCAAGGUGUAGUUCAACGGUGUCAGAGGUUUCUACAAGAAUACAAGUGCCUCGUAGUUAUUAAUGGUCUGGAAAACAAGGAUGAUUGGGACUCGAUAAAAUCUACCUUCUUAUCCAUGUCUACUAAUGGUUGUAUUCUUGCCAUUACACAUCCCAGUGUAACAGACGCAGGUGUACUAGCAAGAUAUUGUGUAGAUGAGGAAGAUCGAGCAAUCAACAUCCAGUAUUUGGAAUCCGACUCCAUGCUCCGUCACUUGAUAAAGGGUUCUCGAAUCUAUGGAAUUGGAGGCAAGCAGGCUUGUCGGAGGGGUCGUCUUUUUUCCGUCAGGAGGGAAGAGGCACGCAUCUGGACCAAACAAUUUCGUCAUGUUGUAGGAGCAAGCUUUCUUCAUCACUGUUUUAGAGAUAGUACCGUGUUGUCCCUGUGGGGAACAGACGGCGCUCAGAAAUCGCCUUUCAUCAGAAAAGCGUACUACUACCAACUGCUUCUGAGCCAAAAUGACAAUAUAGUCAAAAGGAUAUUCGAUGAUGGCUAUAUUAACUUGAAAUUUACAAAGUUCAGCUGGGUUGAUGUGCCGCACCCAUUUAAUUUGGUGGACUUGUCUUGGCGUUUACUUUUGGAUUUCCAUUCUGAUGAUCUCCAAGCCAAGGAAAUGUUAGCAGUCAGUAUGAUGGAAGGCCAGGAUGACCCAAUUCAACUGUGUCUUAAGUUCAUGAGUGAAGACAGAUGCUUCAUUGUUAUUAAUGAUCUGCGCUGUACAGGUGAUUGGGACUCUAUAAGGGAUGCCUUCUCGUGGUCAAAGGGUAUAAAAAGUUCUAUUGUUAUCAUGACAAAUGAAGAAAGUGUCGCCACAUAUUGUACAGAUAGCUGUAUACAUGGAUAUGGAAAAGGUUUUUACAAGAUCAACAUCGAAGAAGUAGUCGCAAGCUGCAGUAUGACAAAGGAUUGUGGAUACACUGGAUACUACGGAAAUGAAAGUGGUGAGGUUUCUCGCUUUUUCUCCAACAGAAGGGAAGAGGCAAAUGACUGGGCCCUGACAUUUGGGCUCGUUGGAAAGCUGUUUGAAGAUGAUCCCGACUAUUCAUUCUAUACUCAUGUUGGUUUGCUAUCCAUAUCGGGAAUCCCUGGGGUUGGGAAAUCAGUGCUCUGUAGAUAUAUCUACAGCAAGGUAAUGCUUUCUAGUAGAAAGAGAUUUACAUCCUUCAGUUGGGUCGAUGUGCCACAACCCUUCAGUUUGAUGGAAUUAUGUUGGCGGCUACUUUUGGAUUUUCUUUCGGAUGAUCUCGAAGCAAAGGAAACUGCGACCAUUGGUAUGAUUGACGACGGUUCUCGGGAUCACAUUCAGGAGUGUCGUGAGUUUCUGCAUAAAGAAUGCUUUGUUGUUAUUGAUGGUCCGUGCUCUACACGUGAUUGGGACUUGAUCAGAGAUGCCCUCUCACCCGAGAAUACCAAAGGAUGCAUUCUUGUGAUUUCAAAUGAAACAAAUAUGGCCACAUAUUGUGUGUCUGAUAAAAAUCAAGUGGUCGGCACACAAGGUCUAGAACCUAAUGCAGCUCUUCUUCUUUUCGAAAAGGUAGCUUUUGGUGGCAAGCAAUUGAGUCCCGAGGAGACUGAGAUUUCAGAACUUAUCAUGGCCAAGUGUGGCGGACUUCCCAAAGUAAUAGCUGCUAUAGGGGAACAAUACAUAGCACGUGAAUGGGGCAUAGAUUUUCUGAAGAAGUUAAAUAAUGACUUCAUGGGUACGCUGGAGACUAUGCCAGAAUUCUAUAGUUUAAGGGGUCUGUUUGGUUGGAUGCAAUCCUACUUUGAUGCAUGUUCAGAUGCACUCAAGCCAUGUAUUUUCUAUCUCUCGGUCUUUCCGAUAGUCACUGAUGUGAGGCGAGGGAGGUUGCUGAGGCGGUGGAUCGCAGAGGGUUAUUCCAGGGACAAGUUUGAUAUUACUGCAGAGAAAGACGGUGAGAAUUUGUUCUAUGAGUUGGUCAAGUUGAGCAUAAUCCAGGAACCACCAGGACAGACUCAUGACGACAGGAGAAAAUCCAAUGAUCCAGACAGCAAAGUAGACAAUGUGUUCCAAGUCAAUGGUUUCUUCCAUGGAUACAUUAUCUCACGACAAUUGGAAGAUAACCUUGUGUUUGCACUGGAGGGGCACUGCAACCUGAACUCGCAACGUGUGGGGCAACACCUGACCAUUAGGAGCAGCUGGGACAGAGAUGAGAAUGUGUUCAAGAGCAUGGACUUGUCACGGCUACGGUCUUUGACAGUGUUCGGGGAAUGGAGGUCAUUCUUCAUCUCAACGGCGGACGGUAGCAGCAAUAUGAGACUGCUUCGGGUACUUGAUCUUGAGGACACGGCGUCAGGUGUAACAAAUGGUGUCCUCGAGCAGAUUGGGAAAUUACUUCCUCGUCUCAAGUUUCUGUCUGUACGAGGAUGCAAAGAAAUUACUCGUAUGCCAGACUCGUUGGGUGGCUUGAGACAGCUGCAGACUCUGGAUGUUAGCCACACCAAAAUAACCAAGUUGUCAUGUGCUAUCAUCAAACUGGUGAAGCUUCAGUACCUGUGUGCAGGCACCACUCAAGACGGCGAUGCACAGCCAGUAGCAGCUGACCCUGAUGGCAUGAGCAGAAGCCAAGCAGCAGCGGUUGACCAUGAUGGCAUGAGCAGUAGCCAAGCAGCAGCAGCUGACCGCGAUGACAUGAGCAGAAGCCAAACAGCAGUAGCAGUACCAGCCAUGGACGGUGAUGUGACGAGCACAAUCGAACCAGCAGCAAGAGCACCAGCCGAGGGUGAAAAUUCAUCGAGUACACCAAUGCAAUGGAGGAGUAAGACCGAACGCAACUUGGUGCAAUCCUAUUCUUGCAGCUGGUCGUCCAAGAAGAAGAAGAUGAUGAAGAAGAAGAAGCAGUUUGAUUAUGGCGGUGGUGUCAAGGUUCCUGCUGCAGGUUUUGGGAAUCUAACGGCCUUGCAUAGUCUUGGUAUUGUGAAUGUGAGUGGUGCAGGCGGGAAGGCCAUCCUCAAGGAUAUGGAGAAGCUUACCCAGUUGCACAAUCUCUGUGUGUCAGGCAUCAGCCAGAAAAACUGGGACAACUUGUGUUCAGUCAUCUCGGGUCACGGCCAUUUAGAGUCCUUGUCAGUGCGACUCGACUAUGAUGAGUCUGAGCAGGAGGGUGGUCUGUGUUGUUUAGAUGGCAUCUCCGAGCUACCAAAGACACUAGACAGCCUCAACUUUUAUGGGGGAAAUGUCUGUGCAUCCCCAACCUGGAUCUUGAGGAAUCCUCGGUUUUUUCAAGGUUUUUGGGGCUUGUUCAGGAACAAUCUUGUACUUACUCGUAUUGAGUUGACAGUAUCAACGCAAGAGGACAUAGACAGUCUUGGUAGAAUUGAAUGUGCAAACUUGUUUGCCCAUCUUUGUGUCAAGCCGAUUCAAGGCAGCUUGCUCCGUUAUGGUUGCGUUGGGUUAUUUGGCAUGCCCUGCGGAUCCGCCACAGUCAAGAUCGAAUGCAACAGCAACGAUUUAACGCUGGUUUUUGGACCUCAUUCAACGGAACAUGUGGAGGUGCUGGAGGUUAACUGCUUUUCUGCUACUGAGUCGUCUUUGGUGCUUUAUGGGCUAGAGGAACUAAGGAAUCUCAAGGAAGUGUGCCUCAAGGGUUCCUACAGCGACCAACUCAGGCAGUAUUUGCAGCAGCAAGUUGACAGGCUUGAAUACAACAAUCGGAAACCUGUGUUGAAGCUGGAGCCCCAACACUCAGCUCCAUCUACUCCUUGUGCGAGCCUGAAGCGCCUAUUUACAUGA
rnacentral:rRNA from 1 species